AACGAACGCUGGCGGCAGGCCUAACACAUGCAAGUCGAGCGCACCCUUCGGACUGAGCGGCGGACGGGUGAGUAAUGCCUAGGAAAUUGCCCUGAUGUGGGGGAUAACCAUUGGAAACGAUGGCUAAUACCGCAUGAUGCCUACGGGCCAAAGAGGGGGACCUUCGGGCCUCUCGCGUCAGGAUAUGCCUAGGUGGGAUUAGCUAGUUGGUGAGGUAAGGGCUCACCAAGGCGACGAUCCCUAGCUGGUCUGAGAGGAUGAUCAGCCACACUGGAACUGAGACACGGUCCAGACUCCUACGGGAGGCAGCAGUGGGGAAUAUUGCACAAUGGGCGCAAGCCUGAUGCAGCCAUGCCGCGUGUGUGAAGAAGGCCUUCGGGUUGUAAAGCACUUUCAGUCGUGAGGAAGGUAGUGUAGUUAAUAGCUGCAUUAUUUGACGUUAGCGACAGAAGAAGCACCGGCUAACUCCGUGCCAGCCGCCGCCGUAAAAC
rnacentral:rRNA from 1 species